rnacentral:rRNA from 1 species
AUUGAACGCUGGCGGCAUGCUUUACACAUGCAAGUCGGACGGCAGCGCGGGCUUCGGCCUGGCGGCGAGUGGCGAACGGGUGAGUAAUACAUCGGAACGUGCCCAGUAGUGGGGGAUAGCUCGGCGAAAGCCGGAUUAAUACCGCAUACGACCUGAGAGUGAAAGCGGGGGACUUUAGGGCCUCGCGCUAUUGGAGCGGCCGAUGGCAGAUUAGCUAGUUGGUGGGGUAAAGGCCUACCAAGGCGACGAUCUGUAGCUGGUCUGAGAGGACGACCAGCCACACUGGGACUGAAACACGGCCCAGACUCCUACGGGAGGCAGCAGUGGGGAAUUUUGGACAAUGGGCGCAAGCCUGAUCCAGCAAUGCCGCGUGUGUGAUGAAGGCCUUCGGGUUGUAAAGCACUUUUGGCAGGAACGAAAAGUGCCGUGCUAAUACCACGGUACGAUGACGGUACCUGCAGAAUAAGCACCGGCUAACUACGUG